UAUAGAAGAUCUCCCGGUGUAUUGACCACCCACCUUCCUCAUCACAGCAGGUUUGUAAUUUGUGUAACGAUUAGUUGCAUUUAAUUGUGGUAAGAUAUCAAGUAUAGCCUAUAGGCCUAUAGUAGAUAGAUCAGAAGGGGACUUAGGUUGUCAUUGUUAUUAGAGGACAACAGUUGUUGCAGCGUACUGCGCCAGUUUUUUUCUGUUUUUUUUCUAGAGUCGGCUGGUCAUUCACCAGGCCUACCAUUGGAGCAGGACUACAGUUGGUGCAGAAAGGGUUCCAGUUCUGCCCUCUACAGUUCGGUAGAGGCGUGGUACAGGGCAGUUCAGGAGUUAUUGGAGAAGGACUACAUUUGGUGCAGAAAGAGUGUUCCAGUUCUGCCCUCAAAAGUUCGGUAGAGGCGUGGUUACAGUGAUAACAUCAUGCCACGCCGAGGGAAGAGAUCUGAGGCUGCAAAGCAACGCUGGGCUAAGUUGGACCUUUCAGACCCUCGGUUUCAGAGUCCAGAACUACAAAGUAGCGUUGCAGUCAUGGAGGUAUGUGACAGGGAGUGUAAACAGGAGGUGUGUUGUCUACCGGUGGUGUCAUCCCCAUGCACAGCUCAGUAUUAUGCACAACCUGAGGUUCAAGAGGUCAACAGCAAUGUGCAGGUCAUAGACCU